AAUCGCUUUGCUUUCCAGAGCUUUUGCAGACUCUUCUCCAUUUGAUUUACCUUAUGGUCUGUAUCAAAUGAGAUCUAAGUCCCUGCCUUCAGUCAGCCUUUAACUCUGGCCUUCAUCACCCGCUAAUUAUCCUUUCAAUCACACAUUUCUGUUCCUUUCUGCUAGGCAACCCCCCACACAUAGAAGAAAACCACCAUCAGCCUGCACAGAGCAAUGCCAUUAUCCUCCUUGAAGCUCAUACCCUGCCCUGUUGGCUAAUGACAAAGGGAGGCUUGGGGCUGGCUUAAAAAGCAGUUGGAGGGAAGGGAACACUGCUUGCACAGAUCUUGUCUGCAUCCAGUGGUGCAAUUCUUUGUGUCCCUCUGAAGAAAGAUGGGCGACUUCAUUUACCAAGAGGGUUGGGAGAUUGAGUCAUUCCUUUGAUCAGCUUUUAUCAUCACCAGAACCAUCCUCCAAGAAAACAAACAAACAA
rnacentral:lncRNA from 1 species